rnacentral:rRNA from 1 species
AUUGAACGCUGGCGGCAGGCCUAACACAUGCAAGUCGAACGGUAGCACAGAGAGCUUGCUCUCGGGUGACGAGUGGCGGACGGGUGAGUAACGUCUGGGAAACUGCCCGAUGGAGGGGGAUAACUACUGGAAACGGUAGCUAAUACCGCAUAACGUCGCAAGACCAAAGUGGGGGACCUUCGGGCCUCACACCAUCGGAUGUACCCAGAUGGGAUUAGCUAGUAGGUGGGGUAAUGGCUCACCUAGGCGACGAUCCCUAGCUGGUCUGAGAGGAUGACCGGCCACACUGGAACUGAGACACGGUCCAGACUCCUACGGGAGGCAGCAGUGGGGAAUAUUGCACAAUGGGCGCAAGCCUGAUGCAGCCAUGCCGCGUGUAUGAAGGAGGCCUUCGGGUUGUAAAGUACUUUCAGCGGGGAGGAAGGCGGUGAAGUUAAUAGCUUCACCGAUUGACGUUACCCGCAGAAGAAGCACCGGCUAACUCCGUGCCAGCCGCCGCCGUAA